GACGGAGGAUGCAAGCGUUAUCCGGAAUUAUUGGGCGUAAAGCGUCCGCAGGUGGCCUAUCAAGUCUGCUGUCAAAGACCGGGGCUUAACCCCAGAAAGGCAGUGGAAACUGAAAGGCUAGAUGAUGGUAGGGGCAGAGGGAAUUCCCAGUGUAGCGGUGAAAUGCGUAGAGAUUGGGAAGAACACCGGUGGCGAAAGCGCUCUGCUGGGCCAUAACUGACACUCAGGGACGAAAGCUAGGGGAGCGAAUGGG
rnacentral:rRNA from 1 species